AUUAUCCGUGUGUAAUUGUUUGCAUUUAUUAGAUAUAAUUUAUAAAUCAAUUUUGACCUCUAUGGUGGCCUAAAGUUUGUUGAAAAGUCUAGCUGGAUCUGUUACCACUGGUCCUCAUGAUUUUGUGAACAUAAAGGCAUCCAUUAAAGUCUCUCAUCUACAGAGAAUGGAAUUAUAUUUGGAAAUAUUGUGUAUGAUAUAGUUGGAUCUACUUCUGAUCAUAAUUGUGUUAUACUUAAUGACAUUCAUAUUAAUAAAAUGGAUUACAUACAACCGGCCAAUUGCACUGAUAACUCAUUCAUUGCUUUCAGUUAUUCUGUUUUCAUAAUAAGAUCUAA